AGCAGUGUGGCCUACUGGAGAGAGCAUGGGCCCUGGAAGUCAGAGGAUCUGAGUUCAAAUCCCAGCUCUGCCA
rnacentral:tRNA from 1 species